rnacentral:lncRNA from 1 species
UUAUAGUUAGAAAAAAAAAGCAUCUCUCAACCUGUUGCUUCCUUCUUCCUGACAGCUGGCUCUGAGGCACCACAAAGGUAUUUUAACCUCUUACUGCCACUCUGCAGCUCUGCAUAGGGUUUCAGUAGCUGCACAGGGAAUUCUUUGUGUUAUUUUGCAGGUGUAGAAUGGAGCUAAUUGGUACAGAGAUGCCACCAACUUCUUGCUGCAAAUCCAUGAUGCAGUAUGGAGUACAGACCAGCUUGCCUUGAACUCAUCUGGGUUUGCUCCACUGUGCGUUCAGGUGUGCUGGAGUUGUGGGUCUGCAUAAGCAGCUAACAUUGCUGUGUUUGGAAGCAUUUGCUCUUUUGGUGCUGGAUGGAACCUAAGAUCUUGCUCUUAACUUGUUCUUUCAGGGUUAAGUGAAAGUUUCUGGAAGAUGAGCUUGGAGCUUUCUCUGCAGUUCUGCAGAAUGCACUGAAGUCCUAGCAGAGAGGCAGUAACCUGGAUGCAGUUGGCUGCCACCUGAUGGGCAAUCAUUUCUUGUGGUCACUGCUCCAAAAAGAAGCAGAGAGGCUCCCAGACUGCCUGGAUCACAGCAUGCUCCAGAGGUGCCAGGCCCAGAGCACCAGAGUCGGUUUGCCUUUCACUG